rnacentral:rRNA from 1 species
UACAGAGGGGGCAAGCGUUGUUCGGAAUUACUGGGCGUAAAGGGCGCGUAGGCGGCCUUCUAAGUCGAACGUGAAAUCCCUGGGCUCAACCCAGGAACUGCGUCCGAUACUGGAAGGCUUGAAUCCGGGAGAGGGAUGUGGAAUUCCAGGUGUAGCGGUGAAAUGCGUAGAUAUCUGAAGGAACACCAGUGGCGAAGGCGGCUUUCUGGCCUAUUCUUGACGCUGAGGCGCGAAAGCUAGGGGAGCGAACGGG